AAUAGGAGAAUGACAAAUCAUAUUUUUUCUCUUGAUUUUCAACUUUUUUUCUCGAGAAAAAAUUUAAAUCCAACUAAAAAUGCUAAAAGUCAAGAGGAAAAAUCUGAUUUGCCAUUCACCUAUU
rfam:Gossypium hirsutum cultivar TM-1 chromosome 21, whole genome shotgun sequence